rnacentral:rRNA from 1 species
GACGAACGCUGGCGGCGUGCCUAAUACAUGCAAGUCGAACGAACUCUGGUAUUGAUUGGUGCUUGCAUCAUGAUUUACAUUUGAGUGAGUGGCGAACUGGUGAGUAACACGUGGGAAACCUGCCCAGAAGCGGGGGAUAACACCUGGAAACAGAUGCUAAUACCGCAUAACAACUUGGACCGCAUGGUCCGAGUUUGAAAGAUGGCUUCGGCUAUCACUUUUGGAUGGUCCCGCGGCGUAUUAGCUAGAUGGUGGGGUAACGGCUCACCAUGGCAAUGAUACGUAGCCGACCUGAGAGGGUAAUCGGCCACAUUGGGACUGAGACACGGCCCAAACUCCUACGGGAGGCAGCAGUAGGGAAUCUUCCACAAUGGACGAAAGUCUGAUGGAGCAACGCCGCGUGAGUGAAGAAGGGUUUCGGCUCGUAAAACUCUGUUGUUAAAGAAGAACAUAUCUGAGAGUAACUGUUCAGGUAUUGACGGUAUUUAACCAGAAAGCCACGGCUAACUACGUGCCAGCAGCCGCGGUAAUACGUAGGUGGCAAGCGUUGUCCGGAUUUAUUGGGCGUAAAGCGAGCGCAGGCGGUUUUUUAAGUCUGAUGUGAAAGCCUUCGGCUCAACCGAAGAAGUGCAUCGGAAACUGGGAAACUUGAGUGCAGAAGAGGACAGUGGAACUCCAUGUGUAGCGGUGAAAUGCGUAGAUAUAUGGAAGAACACCAGUGGCGAAGGCGGCUGUCUGGUCUGUAACUGACGCUGAGGCUCGAAAGUAUGGGUAGCAAACAGGAUUAGAUACCCUGGUAGUCCAUACCGUAAACGAUGAAUGCUAAGUGUUGGAGGGUUUCCGCCCUUCAGUGCUGCAGCUAACGCAUUAAGCAUUCCGCCUGGGGAGUACGGCCGCAAGGCUGAAACUCAAAGGAAUUGACGGGGGCCCGCACAAGCGGUGGAGCAUGUGGUUUAAUUCGAAGCUACGCGAAGAACCUUACCAGGUCUUGACAUACUAUGCAAAUCUAAGAGAUUAGACGUUCCCUUCGGGGACAUGGAUACAGGUGGUGCAUGGUUGUCGUCAGCUCGUGUCGUGAGAUGUUGGGUUAAGUCCCGCAACGAGCGCAACCCUUAUUAUCAGUUGCCAGCAUUAAGUUGGGCACUCUGGUGAGACUGCCGGUGACAAACCGGAGGAAGGUGGGGAUGACGUCAAAUCAUCAUGCCCCUUAUGACCUGGGCUACACACGUGCUACAAUGGAUGGUACAACGAGUUGCGAACUCGCGAGAGUAAGCUAAUCUCUUAAAGCCAUUCUCAGUUCGGAUUGUAGGCUGCAACUCGCCUACAUGAAGUCGGAAUCGCUAGUAAUCGCGGAUCAGCAUGCCGCGGUGAAUACGUUCCCGGGCCUUGUACACACCGCCCGUCACACCAUGAGAGUUUGUAACACCCAAAGUCGGUGGGGUAUCCUUUUAGGAACCAGCCGCCUAAGGUGGGACAGAUGAUUAGGGUGAAG